UUUGGUGCUCGUGAUGACUUGAGACUUUUUUCCCCAUCAGAGCGGAAAUGUUGAAUUCUUUGCUAUUAGCCAGAACUUGUCUGACUGCACCAAU
ensembl:snoRNA